ensembl:lncRNA
CUACAGGAAGCAGAGUGAAACUGUGACCUAUGUCACAUUCACAAAAUACUAGGAGGCUGCCCAAAGCAUAUAUUUCUUUCCUUCUUCUGCAACUCAGCAACAGAAUGGAAACUCAACUUCUGUAAAGUACUAGAGAUAUGUAUCAGUAAAAGAAAAGCAAAAGACAUUGAGCCAUGGUCCCAUUUUAGAAGAUUCUUGGAUGUUCUGAAGGAUGAAAAUGAUGGUGGAUCAAAAAUGGUUUCUCGAUAGCUCUAAGAUUCUUGAUACUGAAGAAAUGCUAGUGGUCUAGAAAGACCUGGCACCAGGAAAUGCAGAUUGGGAAAGAUGACGCAACGCAGUGGAGAUGGGAAAGCACGUAGCAAAGAGAAUGCAUCAAAAAGGAGAGCAGGACCCUACAUAAAGAGGUGAAAAAUUCAAUUCCAUGCUGGUUUGGUCCCUUUUUGUCCUUACUGUCUUUCAGGCUUUUCUUUUUAUCUCCCGCAUCUCCAGGCAUUUGUGUAUCCUUUUACCCACACACUCUAAACU